rnacentral:rRNA from 1 species
UCACUUUCAACAACGGAUCUCUUGGUUCUCGCAUCGAUGUAGAACGUAGCAAAGUGCGAUAAGUAAUGUGAAUUGCAGAAUUCCGUGGAUCAUCGAAUUCUUGAACGCAAAUUGCACUCUUCUCACGAAGAGUAUGCCUGUUUGAGGGUCAUUA